AACGUGGAAACAUUCGUGCCUUGUGGUUUUUUAACGUGUUCCAUCCAAAAUUAGAUAGAUAUUCGUGGGAAAAUGUGAGUGUGGUCGUUUUUUUCAUUUUGUGGAGAUGUUGUGCACACCUGUUGGGCAGCUUAUGUCAUUUUGGGUGAUCCAUAGCAUGUUUGCAUACAGGUUGUCUUAGUUCAAGGAAUAUCCCGGACCUUCAUUUAGAACACUAUUCUUUUAUUCGACAAGUGCCUCGUCUGACCUUGGGGAGUGAAUCCGUCCAUUGGAAGUGGGAGACCGACUUUCCGUCACAAUGACGUCACGACCCUGUAUGCUUCCCAGGAGUCUACCGGGGACCAAGAGUAUCCAUAUCCGCGGUUUAUCCGCCGCCUGCCCUCGAUGGAGACUUGGAGGUGUAAACGAACAUGACAUCAUACCGGGCAGUAUGUAUGAAGUUCAGGUUCCACCAAUGGCCAGUUUGUUAUUUUGAGAAGAAACUUAUGCUCGAAACGGAUCAUGGAACAUUGCUGAAUGGGGAAGGUUCUUUGUUCGACCCUCAAAUUGCCGAAACUGUCGCUGUAAUUCGUCAUUUUACGUUAAAAUUCGUAUUAUGUUAUAGAUCUAUUCAUAGAACCCCUUCUCCACUGAAAUUCAAGAGUGAACUGGAUGUCGUAUGGGGAUUGCAAAAAACUUGCGGUUAAUUCCUCAUCAAGUGUAAGUCAAAAUUUGAUCGCUAAUGCUGUGAUUAAAUGUAAAGUUGUAGUUGAUUUGCACUCGAUUGCUACUCAACUUUUUCGGAACGCCCCAUUACCCUUACACUUCGUUCACAAUCGAACAUUUUUUGCACCGCCCAAAUACCCAAUUAUGAUUCAUUUUUAUUCCGUUAUACUGCGUCUUACACCGAAGUAAGAAAUCACCGACUUCGGUCAGUUGCAGCAUGGACCUGAAAGGUCCAUGGUUACAGCAAGGAAAAUUCCAUAACAUUAGUAUUUUUUCAUGGUCGAAAAAAAUCUGCCUUUGGUCAUAUAGCACUAAUGUCAUCUAAUGGCUGAAUUAGAGGUUGAAGGUCGUUGAACCUUCACUUGUAUUUCAGAUAGUUCAUCGAAAGUAUGCCUUAAUUUGAACAAGUGGUUUGUCCGAAGAAAAAAAAUUUAAAAAUCUGGUUCGUAAAUUACUUUACAAGACUCGCUGAUAUCAGUAGGUCUGAUGCCACUGAUAUUUCAGAGAUAGUUCAUCGAUAAUGAACAAGUGGUUUUCUGAAGAAUUAGAAUUUAAAUCUGGUUCAUACAUUACAUUGCAAGACUCGCUCUUUAGGUCUCAUACCUUCAUUUUGAUUGAUUUCUUUGGCCUACGUCAUCCUGGGUGGAGAAUUACUUUAUCAAAAUUACGUUUAAUUCGUUAGCCAUUCCGUGUUCAUUGGCGUUCUCUUUAUAAAUUAACUAUGGAAUAUUCUUUAACCUCCUUGGUAAUGAGUUUAUAGGUCGAGAGUUGCAGCUUAGGAUCAGUCGAUAUCGUUGUCCUGAAGCUAUGGCACAACGUUAUACUUUACAGCUAUCCUGUGGUUUUCAUUUAUAGGGGCGUUUAUGAUUCAUUAUUGCAUUUUUCUCUAUUGAAUAAAAAAUUGUAACAGUUUCAUAUCAUUGGCACUGAAAAAAAUUCCCAAACGAUAAUUCAUUUGGUGCUGUUGAGAAACGUUUGGCUUGCCAUAAUCAUCCCAGUCGUUCGUCUUGCCGCGUAUGGGUAAUAUUACGAAACAGCUCUAUGGUCAUUAAAUUAAUAAGUUGUUUGAUGAAUUACAGUAAUGAUGAUAAAUUAUGUGGUUUUUGUCUCGCCUGCAUAGCAUAGCGAGACUAUAGGCACGUGUAGGCGCCGCUUUUCCGACGGCGGCGGCAGCGCCAACAUUGAAAUCUUAACCUAAGGUUAAGUUUUUGAAAUGACAUCAUAACUUAAGAAGUAUAUGAAUCUAGUUUAUGAAACUUGAACAUAACGGUGAUACAGUAUUACUAUCAUCCUGCCUGAGUUUUAGGACACAUGACCACGGUCAAAGGUCAUUUAGGGUAAAUGAACUUUAGCCAUGUUAGGGGUAUAUGUUGAAUUACCAUCAUAACUCUGAUAUUUUAUGGAUCUAGUUCAUGAAACUUAAACCUAAGCGUAAUAAAGUAACAUUAAACAUCCCGUGUGAGUUUUAGGUCAUAUGAUCAAGGUCAAAGGUCAAUUAAAGUCAAUGAACUUUGGCCAUGUUGGGGUACUUGUUGAAUUGCCAUCAUAACUGGGCGUAGGGGUAAUCAAGUAUCUCUGACAAGUCUUAGGUCACAUGAUCAAGGUCAAAUUUCACUUAGUGUCAAUGAACGUAGUAUUGUAUCAUUAUACGAAUGGAGUUUUUUUUAAUAAUUAUUUCAUAGUAGUUUUCAAAGUCAGCACUGCUGCUAUAUUGAGUCGCGUAAUGCAUGUGAGACUGCCAGAGGCGCUCCACUUGUUUUUAAAUCAUAAGUUAUAAUAUAUAAUUCAACGGGGGCUGAAAUAAGAUACAAUCUGUUUAGUACUCAUAUUCGCUCUUUUUGUGAUUUGUAUUUGUGUCUACUUUGUUCUGGUUCGGUCUGGUUUGGUCUGAUUCGUAUGUUCAAUAAAUAUUGGAAGAUAAAAAAAUGAUAAGCAACAUUGUGUACUUUUUUCAGUUCAAUUGAUGUUUAUAAUGUAAAAUCGGGCUUUCACAUAAGAUAUGCUACCCUAUUUUGUUGGAUGAUGUUAAUAGAAUGUUAAUCCCGAGUGGAUUGAUAUGAGCCUUGCCCUCCUGAAGUUCCGUAAACUAAGACAUGACCCAGCCGCUUGCUUGUUCCAACUGAACCCAAUUUUUAUAGGGACGUCCUACAUUUAUAACUAAUAAAAGUAGAUAUUUUGCUAAACAUAAUUAUGCACACGAUAUUCAUAUUCUGAUGGUGACGUUAAAGGUCGGUCCCAGACGUAAAUAAUCAUAUCUGAUUGAUACACGUCUGACAAAACUCAAAUACACACAAGUCAUAUUUGGAUUUUGAAUUUAGAAAAUAGAUGGCAACGAGUCGAGCAACUCGUCGGCGUAGAGCAAUGGGAUAAUCCUUGUGAUUACAUUGGCAAGGAUUUCAAGUUUGAAUUUCGGGAAAAAACAAGCCCACGACUUCAGGCCUGAAUC